rnacentral:lncRNA from 1 species
UAUAUAUUAGGUAGAUGCCCAUUCUGUUCCUAUUUUCAAAAGUUUAUUAUAUCUAUGCAAUGCCUUUGCUCAGGUUAAAGAAUGGAAUAAAAGUCUAGCAUCAAAUGUAUAGCUAACUAUUUUAAUUUGUGAUCAGAGCAACUGAUCUCCGUUCAAUUUUUAUCAUCAAAAGUUAGUUCUACCUUCGCAGGACCUCUGCUCUACAUACCUCCUCUCUGGUUAAAGAAUGGAAUAUAAGUCUCAUUUAUCAAGUUGGUGUAAAAAUUUAGCUUGAUAAAUUAAGAAGUUGUAAACUUUAUUAUCACAAUUGCCAAGUUGACCAAAUGUUCUUCUGGUUUUAAAUGAAUUAUGUAUGAGUCUAGUAUCAUCUGGGUGUUCAAAGAUAGUUUACUGCUUGAAGAACUUAUCAAUGAACCAACUAAUUAUAAAACAGUUUUUAAUGAAAAUAAAAACGAAUUAUCAAAAGAUUUAAAUCAGCUAUUUGUGUAUAUUUAAACACUUCAUUUUUUGUGAGAAGAGAUUAUUGAUACAAGUA